AUGGCGCAGGACAAGGCAACGAGGAAAACCCUCCUCCGCGGCAGGUGUAGAAACGGGCUCUAUCCCCUAUCAUCAGCUCCCGUAAGCUCGGGCAGGCAUGCACUUGGCGCCACCAAGAUCUCAUCAUCACGGUGGCACAAUCGUUUAGGUCAUCCAUCUUCGGCAAUCGUUCAGCAUGUUCUCAAGCACAAUAAUAUUUCCUUUUCUAGCAAAGAGUUGAAUAAUCAGGGUGUAUGUGAUGCUUGCCAACAAGGCAAGAGGCAUCAACUACCCUAUCCAAAUUCUAGUGGUAUUUCCAAUGCUCCUUUAGAGCUAGUCUUCUCUGAUGUAUGGGGCCUGCCCGAG
rnacentral:rRNA from 1 species